AGGUGCUGGAGGUGUUGCCCUGAGGUGGGGAGGGCAAUUUUGCAGGAAACCUGCAUUCCUGGAAAGGCAGGUUGGGCUGGGACAUGCCUGCACUGCUGCUGUCCCCACUUCAUUGGACAUCAAACAUUUGUUAAACGUCUUUUCUUUGGAUUUUCUCCUCACAAGAGCAAGUUUGCUCUUGCCCCAUUUCAUCCUACAGCAGCUCCAAAAAGAAGCUCAGAAGAGAAACACAGACAUUCAAAUAGCAACAGCAAAGGAUUCAGCAGAGGCUCUGGAUGUGGAGUGAUGGUCACAUAGAGUGUUACAAUUUUAUAUAAAAAUUUUUCUCCCUUUAAGCUCCAAAGAGAAAAAUGCCUCACAAAAACACUUUUCCUCAGGAGCAAGUAGGAGAUCUGAACCAGUCUAAAGUCAAUGAGCUCAGCAGCAACCUCUGCGCAUGCAGGACCAGCACUGCCUCUCCUUUCCUGUUGUGACCUGGAAGAGCCAAUAAAUUACCUGGUGCUACUUUUUCCCUAUGAAGUGCAGGAACGCCAGGAGCCAGCCUGACCUGAGAAGUCCAUCAACAGCCAAAGACAAAUUUGCAGAUAAAUUCCCAGCUGAAAUGCAAGCAGUUUUCAUUUCAAAUUCCACCAACUCCUUGACAUGUUCCUCUGCCUAGCAAGAAAAACCAGGACAUUUUGGACCAGCAGUUCAGCAGACAUUCCAUCUUUUCUCUCAGUUAUGUGGCAGUUCACAUUGCCUCUGAAGACAGGAAUGACAUGGGAUGCCCACGCUUCAGGCAUCGAUAAUAUGAACAGAACAUUCGCUUUUGCUUGUUUUCAUAAAAAUAUGAAUUGACCCUUUUGCUGCUCAUUCAGUGUUCUAUAUUUAAGGAAGUAUUCUCAAUUACAGAAUUUGGCUUUCAGCCCUUUUCUGUUUAAAAGACAAAUAAGUUUUUAUCACUCUUGAAGUGUUGUUAAGUUCCUUAAUAUUUCCUCUGAAAAGUAGACUUGCUCAAUGAGAUUUCAUCUGAAAUGUCACGGUAUUUGCAUUUCAAAGAUAAGUGCGUUCCAAAAGCAGUCCUGGAGCAGGACUACCAGAGCUAAGAGGGGUCUGGCUCAGUGUUUUGGGCAAAAUAACAGAAUUAACAGCUUCUCAUGAGCAGUAGGUCUGGAUCUGACCUCAGUUCCUUUAACAAUAAAUCACUUCAGCUCUGCCUCCCUUUUGUAGUCUGUAAAACCCAGAUUAUAUUUGCUUGUACCAACGUCAAAACGUAAGUGGUGGAAAGAAGAAAUAAAGUGAGGAAGGAAUAAAACUACCUCAAAGAUUUUGAUGGAAACUGCCACUGAAGAGGAGGACACCACAGAAGUUGCUGGAGGAGCCAGAGUGAAGUCACAUAUAAAUUUAUGAUUUGGCUGCAGUUUUCAUUGGAAUCAGGACAUGAUCCGUGACAACGUAUUCCCACAGGAGCUGCUGCAGUGGUUGUUGAUCUCAAGAGGUUUUUCAUCUCACAGACACACAAAUGCAGGCUCUGCUGUCUUUCUCCUGAAAAACCUCAUCACCAGAUGGUGCAGAAAGGAAUUCACAAUUCAUAAACGAGGAAGUUACUGUUUAGCAAUGCACAAUGGCAGUCACUUGGCCAUGCUUGUAUCUCGGCCAAGGCUCACCAAGGAAGGAUCAGGAACACCCAUGAAAGUGAGCAGAUCAAAAAUAUCUCACCCUCAAUGACCUCAUGAAAUUAGAUACAUUCAUGGUUUAAUUUUUCCCAGCACCUGGAAAUUCAGAUUUAUUAUGUGCUUCCAUAUCCAUAGAGCAAAUAAUGUGUUUCCCAAAAAUGUUUUAAUGUGAAAUACUGUAUGGAAGUUGGGAAUUGUCCUAUCAAAUCCAAGUGUCCUGGGUUAUGAUGCAAUGGAGGGAAGGUAUGAAGUUCCUGACUAUGGUUGCAAAAUGACAUUAUAAUAAUUUCCAAGCUCAUAACAGCUUUUGCUUUUUGCAUUUCCUGUGACCGUCAUCUCCACCAAUUUUUUUCUCCACUUCCCUGGAGUCAUGCUUCUCAGAGACCUUUCAUUUUGCCUCUUACACAGCCCUGUAAUAAAAUGGCAUCUUUCAUUUCA